rnacentral:rRNA from 1 species
GCUGUGAGCUCGAUGAGUAGGGCGGGACACGUGGUAUCCUGUCUGAAUAUGGGGGGACCAUCCUCCAAGGCUAAAUACUCCUGACUGACCGAUAGUGAACCAGUACCGUGAGGGAAAGGCGAAAAGAACCCCGGCGAGGGGAGUGAAAAAGAACCUGAAACCGUGUACGUACAAGCAGUGGGAGCCCCACCACCAAAGCAUUCUCUGGUGUUGAAGGCCCUGCAAAGCAGCAUCGCGGUGGCGGAGCGUCGUUUGCGACGCCCAACACACAAAACAAGCGGUGAGUGCUUUGGGGUGGGGUGACUGCGUACCUUUUGUAUAAUGGGUCAGCGACUUAUAUUCUGUAGCAAGGUUAACCGAAUAGGGGAGCCGGAGGGAAACCGAGUCUUAAUUGGGCGUUAAGUUGCAGGGUAUAGACCCGAAACCCGGUGAUCUAGCCAUGGGCAGGUUGAAGGUUGGGUAACACUAACUGGAGGACCGAACCGACUAAUGUUGAAAAAUUAGCGGAUGACCUGUGGCUGGGGGUGAAAGGCCAAUCAAACCGGGAGAUAGCUGGUUCUCCCCGAAAGCUAUUUAGGUAGCGCCUCGUGAAUUCAUCUCCGGGGGUAGAGCACUGUUUCGGCUAGGGGGCCAUCCCGGCUUACCAACCCGAUGCAAACUGCGAAUACCGGAGAAUGUUAUCACGGGAGACACACGGCGGGUGCUAACGUCCGUCGUGAAGAGGGAAACAACCCAGACCGCCAGCUAAGGUCCCAAAGUCAUGGUUAAGUGGGAAACGAUGUGGGAAGGCCCAGACAGCCAGGAUGUUGGCUUAGAAGCAGCCAUCAUUUAAAGAAAGCGUAAUAGCUCACUGGUCGAGUCGGCCUGCGCGGAAGAUGUAACGGGGCUAAACCAUGCACCGAAGCUGCGGCAGCGACACUCAGGUGUUGUUGGGUAGGGGAGCGUUCUGUAAGCCUGCGAAGGUGG